rnacentral:rRNA from 1 species
AUGGACAGUGCCGCCUCCGUCGCGGGAGCCCCCCCCGCGGUGCCGCCCGCGGUGCUGUGCGCCGCCGAGGAGGCCCUGGCGGCCACCGAGUCCGUGGGGGACCAACUCGCCGAGAUGCUCGCCGCGGCGGCCGAGGACCCCGACGCCGUCGCCGAGCUCCCGCCCCUGCAACGGGCGCGCGCCUUCCUCGCCGUAGCCCACGCCGCGACCUCCCUCUUCUCAGUGCGGCUGAGGUGUUCGGGGAUUAAUCCGGAUGAGCACCCUAUAAAGAAGGAGUUCGAGAGGUUAAGCCUGUGGCAGGAGAAGUUAAAUCGAUUGAACGAAUGGGACAAGGCACCACUGCGCCCUUCCACCACCGUGAAUACGCAAGCGGCUGCAAGGUUCAUUGGUCGUUCGUUGUCCCAUUUGACAGAUGACCAGAAGAGGGGCAUGCAGGCAAUCAGUAAAGGGGAAGGGGCGGGCUGGUCUGGGAGGAAGAGGAAGUCACAGCCACUGCCAGAGAGGAAGUCUGUUCGUGCUGCUGCGGAAGAGUUCCUUGCGAAGGCUUCUCAGGAGCUCAUUGGGUAUAAUGGUAGCGGGGUGAAGGGCCCUGUUAGAACUGUUUUUGAUGAAGACGAGGACUAG